GCUAGAGUUGGAAGAGUUGCGAACGGGUGAGUAACGCGUAGGUAACCUGCCUAUUAGUGGGGGAUAACUAUUGGAAACGAUAGCUAAUACCGCAUAAUAGUGUUUAACACAUGUUAGAGACUUAAAAGAUGCAAUUGCAUCACUAGUAGAUGGACCUGCGUUGUAUUAGCUAGUUGGUGGGGUAACGGCCUACCAAGGCGACGAUACAUAGCCGACCUGAGAGGGUGAUCGGCCACACUGGGACUGAGACACGGCCCAGACUCCUACGGGAGGCAGCAGUAGGGAAUCUUCGGCAAUGGGGGCAACCCUGACCGAGCAACGCCGCGUGAGUGAAGAAGGUUUUCGGAUCGUAAAGCUCUGUUGUAAGAGAAGAACGUGUGUGAGAGUGGAAAGUUCACACAGUGACGGUAACUUACCAGAAAGGGACGGCUAACUACGUGCCAGCAGCCGCGGUAAUACGUAGGUCCCGAGCGUUGUCCGGAUUUAUUGGGCGUAAAGCGAGCGCAGGCGGUUUAAUAAGUCUGAAGUUAAAGGCAGUGGCUUAACCAUUGUUCGCUUUGGAAACUGUUAAACUUGAGUGCAGAAGGGGAGAGUGGAAUUCCAUGUGUAGCGGUGAAAUGCGUAGAUAUAUGGAGGAACACCGGUGGCGAAAGCGGCUCUCUGGUCUGUAACUGACGCUGAGGCUCGAAAGCGUGGGGAGCAAACAGGAUUAGAUACCCUGGUAGUCCACGCCGUAAACGAUGAGUGCUAGGUGUUAGGCCCUUUCCGGGGCUUAGUGCCGCAGCUAACGCAUUAAGCACUCCGCCUGGGGAGUACGACCGCAAGGUU
rnacentral:rRNA from 1 species